rnacentral:rRNA from 1 species
CCCUUGUUUUACAAAAACAUGUCCUUAUGUCAUUUUGUAUAAGGUCCGGCCUGCCCAAUGAAAUAUAUUUAAUGGCCGCAGUAUUUUGACUGUGCAAAGGUAGCAUAAUCAUUUGUCUUUUAAUUGAAGGCUUGUAUGAAAGGUUAGAUGAGAAGAUAACUUUCUUUAUACUAAAUACUUAAUUUAAUUUUUCAGUUAAAAAGCUGAGAUUUUUUAAUGGGACGAGAAGACCCUAUAGAAUUUUAUUAAAGUUUGUUUAUUUAAUUUAUGGUUAAUUGUUUUUUUAUAUAGGCUUUAAUUUUGUUGGGGCGACAGGAAGAUUAAAUUAACUCUUUUAUUAUAUUUAUUACAGAUUAGUAAGAUUAGGAUCCCAUAUUAUGGAUUAUUAGAUUAAAUUACCUUAGGGAUAACAGCGUAAUUUCUUUGGAGAGUUCUUAUUGAUAAAGAAGUUUGCGACCUCGAUGUUGGAUUAAAAUUAGUUUUAAGUGCAGAAGCUUAUAAUUAUAGGUCUGUUCGACCUUUAAAUUUUUACAUGAUCUAGUUUCAACCGGG